GCAGAAGAUGGGGGAGAUUAGCCUGGCGCGGCUAUCAUGCAGGUCGAGCGGAAGAAGGGAGCUUGCUCCCGGAUGUUAGCGGCGGACGGGUGAGUAACACGUGGGUAACCUGCCUGUAAGACUGGGAUAACUCCGGGAAACCGGAGCUAAUACCGGAUAGUUCCUUGAACCGCAUGGUUCAAGGAUGAAAGACGGUUUCGGCUGUCACUUACAGAUGGACCCGCGGCGCAUUAGCUAGUUGGUGGGGUAAUGGCUCACCAAGGCGACGAUGCGUAGCCAACCUGAGAGGGUGAUCGGCCACACUGGGACUGAAACACGGCCCAAACUCCUACGGGAGGCAGCAGUAGGGAAUCUUCCGCAAUGGACAAAAGUCUGACGGAGCACCGCCGCGUGAGUGAUGAAGGUUUUCGGAUCGUAAAGCUCUGUUGUUAGGGAAAAACAAGUGCGAGAGUAACUGCUCGCACCUUGACGGUACCUAACCAAAAAGCCACGGCUAACUACGUGCCAGCAGCCGCGGUAAUACGUAGGUGGCAAGCGUUGUCCGGAAUUAUUGGGCGUAAAGGGCUCGCAGGCGGUUUCUUAAGUCUGAUGUGAAAGCCCCCGCCUCAACCGGGGAGGGUCAUUGGAAACUGGGAAACUUGAGUGCAGAAGAGGAGAGUGGAAUUCCACGUGUAGCGGUGAAAUGCGUAGAGAUGUGGAGGAACACCAGUGGCGAAGGCGACUCUCUGGUCUGUAACUGACGCUGAGGAGCGAAAGCGUGGGGAGCGAACAGGAUUAGAUACCCCUGGGUAGUCCACGCCGUAACGAUGAGGUGCUAAGGUGUUAGGGGGGUUUUCCGCCCCUUUAGUGGCUGCAGCUAACGCAUUAAAGCCACUCCGGCCGUGGGAGGAGGUACGGUCCGCAGGACCUGAUACUCAAAGGUAGUGACGGGGGCCCCGCAACCAGGCGCGGUGUGGGAGCGCAGUGGUGUGUGGGUACUCU
rnacentral:rRNA from 2 species